GGUCACAGUUCGGAUUGCAGGCUGCAACUCGCCUGCAUGAAGUCGGAAUCGCUAGUAAUCGCAGGUCAGCAUACUGCGGUGAAUACGUUCCCGGGCCUUGUACACACCGCCCGUCACACCACGAAAGUCUGUCAUGCCCGAAGCCGGUGGCCUAACCGUAAGGAGGGAGCCGUCUAAGGCGGGACAGGUGAUUGGGGUGAAGUCGUAACAAGGUAGCCGUAUCGGAAGGUGCGGCUGGAUCACCUCCUU
rnacentral:rRNA from 1 species